rnacentral:misc_RNA from 1 species
AGCUACUAAUGCUUGGGGGCCCCACAGCGGUUGCUCGCCGUUUGUACGCGCGUGUGUAUUUUUGCAUGUGUGUAUGCGUGUGCACGUCCGUUCGUGACUGCCAACAUCCCUGCAUUGCUCGACUCCACAACCACAACGACCGCUCGCUAUCCUCCUUUGCGCCAGCGUCCGGCGCACGCGCGCAUCAGUUUGUGUAUUGCUGUCGCUGCCCCCACACGCUUGGUCUAUCACUCUUUUUCCUCUCUCGUCCUCCUGUUGCUCCGGUGUGUGUGUGUGUGUGUGUGUGCCCUUCUCGUGUCCCAGUAUCGAUGGCCACGACUGCCUCACCUCAGACGGGAUCAAGCCCCACCGUCCCUACACCUGUGGCACCGCCGUCGAUCGAUGAAGCACUGUCGUACUGGAUUGGGCUCUCGCGCCUCAUUCACCGCGUCUGCGUGACGUCCGACUCUACACCGUCCGCUGAUGAGUGCGUGCCAUCCGAUCGGCUCCAAAGAUGCAUCGGUAACGCGGAGGGCGAGCCGUCGACCUUUACUCGCUACGCCCUUCACCGUGUGCUGCUCUGCUGUGGCAUAAAGCAGCAUCGCGUUCGAAAGACCGCCGACCACAUGCUUGCACAGCUUCUCUCGGCAGCCUACACCACCGCAGCCGCCCUCACUGUGCCAGUCGUCUUGCUGGACAACGAAUCACCGGCAUCGACGCCUUUCCGUUCACCAGUGCGUCAGUUGCCCGUACCGUUGCCUGUUCUCGUGGCGGACUGGCUGAAGCAGUCCUCUGCUGACGAUCAGAACGCGUCCCAGCACAACCGCUACUGUCUGCGGGUCCCCGCCGUCACGUGGAGCAGGAGCAUCAUCAAGUGGUUGGGAAGUGAACUGCGAGGGCAGAUGAUUUCGCUGAGGCCGCUUUCCCGGUGGAGCAUGGUGUGUGCGCAACAGUCCGGACGCAUGCCUGUAGUCAUCUUUGUCGGCGGCGCCAGCGGCGCAGGGAAGAGCACGCUGGCCAGCCUGGUGGCGAGUCAGCUGCGCGUCCCAAACGUGCUGUCUACCGACACAGUGCGUCAGGUGUUGCGGACGCGCCUGUGUGGGCACGAGGCGCAGUUCCCGGCCCUCUUUGUGUCCACGUAUGAGGCGCACAAGGUGACGGCAGAUGAUGGUCACGUCUCCGCGGAUAACGGAUCUGCGGUGCCGCAUGCGCUGAGCGCCGACGAGAACGCCAUCGUUCAAGGGUACGAGGCACAGUGCGAGCUGGUCCUCCGCGUCCUUGACGGGAUGCUGGCGCGCCUCCUCGCUCGCCGCGAGUCGAUCGUGGUGGAAGGGGUGCAUUUGCUUCCGCGAUAUCUGGCGGCGAAGCGCGCCGAGCUUCUCGUGUCGCGUGUGGCCUGCGUUCCUGUUCUCGUGCGCAUCCCCAAGGCGGACAGUCACCUGGAGCGGCUCUGCAUCCGCGCACGCGGCAUGUCCAUGCGGGCGCAAAACAACAGGUACAUCGCCUCCUUCAAAGCAAUCCGCACCAUCCAAGCUCACCUGGUCGACAGUGUGGAGGCGGCAUCGCUGCCGGUUCUGGUGCUUUCGAACACGAACAUGGACAAGUCCUUCACCGCGCUCCACCACACCCUGUUGGAGACCAUGGAGUACGCCGCGGUGCACGGCUGGCCUGCGGACGCAGCAGCGGCGGCCGAAGUCCCUCUCACUGGGCUGGUCUUCACGUCUGUAAAAGACAGACUUGUUGCGGUGGUGCGGCAGCGGCAGUGUCGCCGCAGCGCCACAGAUGACAAGACCAACACGUCGAGCCGGACGGGUGCAUCCGCGCCGGGAGACGAGGAAAAGGGGGGCGUGGCAACGGGCCCCUGCGGCGCACUCGUACUCGCACCCCACGCACGACUGCCAGCUCAUUCCCCGGCGGGCAGCAGCAGCAGCAGCAGCAACGGUGCAGCGCCACGCGCUCGCUCUGCAGAGCUGCUGGGGGUGGUACAGCGUUGCCUUCUCGAGCAAGGCUUACGUUAUCACUCUCGCACCAGUAAUGCUCAGGCAGAUGCCGCAACGGUGUAUGGUUCGUCCGGCGUGCUCGGCGCGCGGGACGCCAGCAGUUGCUUCCACGCACACGUUGUCGUACGCCGCUCUUUCACCAUCGCGGCGAAGUCGCACAUCGGCCUGACCGCGUCGUCUCACCUUCCGUUAGCCGACCGCAACGACGAGCUCGACGAGGUGGAGAUGCCGUCCCUGAUCGGCUCAUGAAGGUGGUUCGAUUUAACUCGCACGUGCACACGUGAAGAAGAGGCGAGAGGGGGAUGUCAUGCAUAACGCCAACUUUUCAUUGCGCGUGGUUGUCGCUUGUUUGCUGCUCAUCACACCCGCACAGAACCGUCGGCAUCGUCAUCGCUUCCACUGCCGCCUCUCUCUCUCUCUCUGGGUGUUUGUACGUGGGGAAGGGGGCGGGAGGGGUUUGUUCUGUGACACACACACACACACAUGCCUCCCUCCUCCUCCCUGUCGUCGUCACUGCGCCUGUUGCGCACUGUUGCGGCCGCUACCAUGUUGCGUUGUCCUCUUUAGGAGUGUGUGAGGGGCCUCUCCUCACUCCUCCUUCCUCCCUCCUCCUCCCACCCCACCCUCGACUUCUUGCACCAACCACCAACCCUCCACGACUUGCAGAUCGCUCUGGAUUGACCGUAAUGACGGUGGCAACGCAGUCGCGUGCACGCUUGGGGGGGGGGGAGGGAAGGGCGGACCUUUUCUGCACUCGCGACAUGCGUGAUUCAAAAUUAACGCGAACGGGCUUACCUCACUCCUCUCUCUGCCUUUUAUUGUCAUCGCUUUCUUCUCGGUGAAG